rnacentral:rRNA from 1 species
CACCCUCGGGUGGACAGGGAGACAGGUGGUGCAUGGUUGUCGUCAGCUCGUGUCGUGAGAUGUUGGGUUAAGUCCCGCAACGAGCGCAACCCCUACGUUUAGUUGCUAACGCGUGAAGGCGAGCACUCUAGACGAACUGCCGUUGACAAAACGGAGGAAGGUGGGGAUGACGUCAAAUCAUCAUGCCCCUUAUGUUCUGGGCUACACACGUGCUACAAUGGCCGGUACAGACGGACGCAAAGCCGCGAGGUGGAGCAAAUCCUAAAAAGCCGGUCUCAGUUCGGAUUGCAGGCUGCAAUUCGCCUGCAUGAAGUCGGAAUCGCUAGUAAUCGCAGGUCAGCAUACUGCGGUGAAUACGUUCCCGGGCCUU